UUGUGGUGAGCUAAAACUGAUUAAUUGUGCAUAAUAAUUUCUAGUAGCAGUAAUUGAACUAUUUUGGUCGCUGAUCUCAAAAGAGGUUAAGGCUAAUCACCCAAAGAUUAUCAGGUGAAUUUCCUGGUUAUAUGAUUCAAACUGCAUCCUUUCUAGGUCAUUAAUUCUCAAGCAUCGAUCCCUUGUUUCUUAAUUUCAGCUUGCAGGGGUUGUUGCGGUUGAAGUCACAGGAGGGCCAACCAUCGACUUUGUUCCAGGAAGAAUGGAUUGCGCAGAUUCUCCUGAUGAAGGACGCCUUCCUGAUGCAAAUCAAGGUGCCGGACAUUUGAGAGAAAUCUUUUACAGAAUGGGGCUUUCUGACAAGGAUAUUAUCGC